rnacentral:lncRNA from 1 species
UUACUAAUGCACAUCAAUAAGAUUAAUCAUCACAUGAAGCAUUUCAAAAACUAAUAUCUAGUCUCAAAUCAUCACAAACUUGUCAAGGAAAUCUAGAUACCUAUAGCAGGAGCAAACUUGCACCCUUCUCACAUAGGUAGUAUGUACAGUUUGCCCAAAUAGUAACCGAAAAAAAGACUAUUACAUUACAUUCCACUAUUUUGACACUUGGUAUAACUAUUAAAUGCAACAGAAAUUCACUUCACUAAGCAUAAACUGCCAUGAGUUUACUCGCUAGUUGCAAUCAGUAGUACAAAUUGAGCCAAAUUGCACUUGAGCCUAGGUUCUAAGUACCUUAGAAGUCCCAUAAAUUGAUAAAUCUACACCAUGAGCUUUCUAUUGAAUCGAAAAUAAAUUAUUCACCAAAAAAAGUUGAUUAGUAAAAAAUAGAAAAUUUAACCUCCAUCAUAAAGAAGUCUACCAUGCCUAACUCCAAUAGCAAAGCAGCUACAACCAAAAAACAAAAGAAAUUUAAUAAAUAAUAACAAUUUAAUCAGAAUUACGCUGAUAAAUAAAAUACCUCAAAAAAUAAAAAAAAAAAUUCUAAUCCAAAGAAGAGAAAAGUAUCUUGUAAAACAAAGAUCCACAUCUAAAAAAGACUUGUUCUUUGUUAUUGGUAUUCUUGGUAUUGUUGAUUCAUUAUACAGAAAGAGAGAUAGAGCGAGAAAGAACCCGAGAGAACUAAGAAGAGACAGCCGCGAAGGGAGGUGAGAUGAAGCAGGGGAUUUGAGGAGUGAAACCUCCACGACACUUAUUCUCAAACAGCAGAUUUCACUGAAAUCUAUGGUGGUUGCAUAAUACGAAAAUUUUAGAAAGGAGAGAAGGAAGCAGGAAAAGAAGCGGUGGUAGUUUGUGAAAAGAACAUGAGUUGUCCAACACUAGUCACUCCAAAGCAGCGA